rnacentral:tmRNA from 1 species
GGGGCCGUUUGGUUUUGACAGCAUAGAUCUUUGAAAGUGUAAGCAUGCAGAGCGUUGAAUAAUUAGCUCUUUAAUCUGAAUACUCAAAACUAUAAAUGGCAAUACUCAGUAUGCCAUGGCCGCUUAAUCAGUGAUUAAGUAGUCAUUAGGGCCGCCGCGCAGGUUUGUCUGUUACCAAGCGCCGCCGCCGACUUAAAACAAAUACAGGCUGCUGCAACCGAAGGCUGUGACGGUUGCUUAAGA